GGAUGUGGGGGGUUUGCUGGCCUCUUAAUCUUAAGAGUUCAGCUCUCCUGAAAUGCAUUAGCAGAACAACCUUAUGUUCAUUGGUGUGGUACUAUCUACGCUAUUGAAUGUUGAGGGGGAAAGUCCAGCUUUCUGACGGUCCUUGGACAACUCAUCAUUAAUGUGACCUCAAAUCAGGUAGGACUACCCGCUGAACUUAA
rnacentral:misc_RNA from 1 species